GACGAACGCUGGCGGCGUGCUUAGCACAUGCAAGUCGAACGAGUGGCGAACGGGUGAGUAACACGUGGGUGAUCUGCCUUGCACUUCGGGAUAAGCUUGGGAAACUGGGUCUAAUACCGGAUAGUGCAAGAUGAGCUCGCGGCCUAUCAGCUUGUGGGUGGGGUAAUGGCUACCCAGGCGCGACGGGUAGCUGGUCUGGGAGGAUGAUCAGCCACACUGGGACUGAGACACGGCCCAUAUUCCUACGGGAGGCAGCAGUGGGGAAUAUUGCACAAUGGGCGCAAUCCUGAUACAGCCAGGCCGCGUGUAGGAAGAAGGCCUUAGGGUUGUAAAGUACUUUCAGCGGGGAGGCGUUACCCGCAGAAGAAGCACCGGCUAACUCCGUGCCAGCCGCCGCGGUAAUAC
rnacentral:rRNA from 1 species